CUCUCUGGUCUGUAACUGACGCUGAGGCUCGAAAGCGUGGGGAGCAAACAGGAUUAGAUACCUGGUAGUCCACGCCGUAAACGAUGAGUGCUAAGUGUGGGAGGGUUUCCCCCUUCAGUGCUGCAGUUAACGCAUUAAGCACUCCGCUGGGGAGUACGACCGCAAGGUUGAAACUCAAAGGAAUUGACGGGGGCCCGCACAGCGGUGGAGCAUGUGUUAAUUCGAAGCAACGCGAAGAACCUUACCAGGUCUUGACAUCCUUUGACCACUCUAGAGAUAGAGCUUUCCCUUCGGGGACAAAGUGACAGGUGGUGCAUGGUUGUCGUCAGCUCGUGUCGUGAGAUGUUGGGUUAAGUCCCGCAACGAGCGCAACCCUUAUUGUUAGUUGCCAUCAUUAAGUUGGGCACUCUAGCGAGACUGCCGGUGACAAACCGGAGGAAGGUGGGGAUGACGUCAAAUCAUCAUGCCCCUUAUGACCUGGGCUACACACGUGCUACAAUGGACAGUACAAUGAGCAGCGACACGGCGACGUGAAGCGAAUCUCAUAAAGCUGUUCUCAGUUCGGAUUGUAGGCUGCAACUCGCCUACAUGAAGCCGGAAUCGCUAGUAAUCGCGGAUCAGCACGCCGCGGUGAAUACGUUCCCGGGCCUUGUACACACCGCCCGUCACACCACGAAAGUUUGUAACACCCGAAGUCGGUGAGGUAACCGCAAGGAGCCAACCGCCUAAGGUGGGAUAGAUGAUUGGGGUGAAGUCGUAACAAGGUAACCAAGGGCGAAUUCUG
rnacentral:rRNA from 1 species